UUUCAGAACAGAGUUUCAUGGCUCAAAACGUUUAUUAAGGAAUAUGAGUCUGUGGCACAAUGGUAGUGCGUCUGACAUCAAAUCAGAAGGUACAAAUUCGGGGAGGAAAACAUUUCUAGCUAGACGUCUCAGCAGCUUGGUUUUUAGGGGAAAAUCAGGCUCCAAAAGAAGAUUCUCAAUAAGGGUAUGGAGAAUAAACUAGGAAGGCAGCUCAAGGAAUGUGAUAGUCAUUUGUAUACGUUUCCGGUUGUAGUUUAUGAACUGUGUUUGUUCUCUUUAACCAAUACAUAAAGGGUUAUUAUCUGACUUUAUUGCUGAUUUAGGUAAUGGUAGACAAAGUCGGCAUGCCUUAUGUAGCGCUGUAAAGACGGCAGGUAAGAGAGGAAAUGGAUGACAAUGAAAAUAUUGUACUGCUCAUUGGAGGUGAUAAUUUGUCGCAUAAAGGAUAGUUUAACAUGGAAAAAGACACAACAGUAUAGUGCGACAGAUUCUCAGUAUUGCAUUUGAGUGCAAUUUACUUAGUUUGGAUAUUGUCAAAACAUGAAACUGGAGAGUCUGUCCAAUUGCCUACAUGUAGCAGUUGUUGAAGAUGAUAUUUUGCCAACUAUAAGAGUUUGUCCAAUUGCCUACAUGUAGCAGUUGUUGAAGAUGAUAUUUUCUCAACUAUAUAUGUACAUAUGGUGACCUACGGUAUUUUAACUGGAUGAUCAGGAUCAUUAGUAUAAUGAAACAAAAGGUAGUCAUCACUGAUUUAAUUAUUCGUUACUUCCUAGAUUUUGUCUACUAGAUAUACAAAACUUUGUCGCAUUUAUUUUAAUUUUUAUCUAUUGUCGGUGUGUACUAAGUGUGACCUUCGGCUGGAGAAUGAGGAUGGUGUAUUCUUCAUAUAGUACUUGCAUAAAGUCUUCCCAGGUUUGAAAUAUCAUCAAGAUAACUUGGAAAGUGCGACUUAUUAUGGCUAUUAUUUAAAUUUUUUGUAGUUGGUAUUGUUGUCAGUAAUGUUGUGUCUGCAAUUGCUUGAUUAUAUGGAUGAACGGACAACUUCAUGGAAAAGCUCAUUCGGCCGAAGUCUGCGAAAGCGAAGAGAAUAUCGUGCAUCAUCGUUGUCUUCUGAGAAGACGAACAUUGCUCAGAACUAUAUUACGGAUGUGCUUUCCAUUAGUAGGUUUGAUGUGGUGGUAAAUGGUGAAUGCUAUCUAAGUCUUCGCAAUAACAAAGGAGGGAAUAGGUAGCAGGAUCCUAUGCGGGACAGAGAUAUGCUACUUCUUGAGAAAAUGGGUACCCACUGCCACUGUAUGGAGAUACAUAUGAUGAUAUCAUGUUGUAAAAACACGACCGCAUCAAAGCCAUAACAUUGUGGAGUUUAUGAACUACAUGUAUGAUUGACCAACAGAGAAAACAAAGCUUACUUCGUCAUUGACAAUGAAGAAUAUUUCUUAAUACGAGAAGCCGUCCUAAAGAAGAUACUCGAUUUGAUGAAUGAAGGCUUGCCAUUCAAAUUUUUAAGAAUGCAGUUAAGAAAUCAAGCACUGGAGAGUUACAAAAAUGGAUAAACUUUGAUGUCUUAUAAUUCAUUAGCACUUCUCAUAAUGUUAUAAGUUGUAGUCAUUACUUUGAAGUUUCAACACAUAAUAUGCAAUGCUUUACCUCCACAAUUCUUUAUGUUCAAGAGGAAAAAGAAAUAUUAAAAGAUAGUUUUUUUUUUUUC